rnacentral:rRNA from 1 species
GUAGUCAUAUGCUUGUCUCAAAGAUUAAGCCAUGCAUGUCUAUGCACAAGCCGAUUAAUGGUGAAGCCGCGAAUGGCUCAUUACAACAGCCACUGUUUACUUGAUCUUGACUAUCCUACUUGGAUAACUGUGGUAAGUCUAGAGCUAAUAUACGCAAUAAAGCUCCGACCUUACGGGGCGAGCGCAUUUAUUAGACCAAAACCAAUCGGGCUCCGGCCUGAAACGUUGGUGACUCUGAAUAACUGAGCUGAUCGCAUGGUCUUUGUACCGGCGACGCAUCUUUCAAGUGUCUGCCUUAUCAACUUUCGAUGGUAGUUUAUGUGCCUACCAUGGUUGUUACGGGUAACGGAGAAUAAGGGUUCGACUCCGGAGAGGGAGCCUGAGAAACGGCUACCACAUCCAAGGAGGGCAGCAGGCGCGCAAAUUACCCACUCUCGGCACGAGGAGGUAGUGACGAAAAAUAACGAGGCGGUUCUCUAUGAGGCCCGCUAUCGGAAUGGGUACAAUUUAAACCCUUUAACGAGGACCUAUGAGAGGGCCAGUCUGGUGCCACAGCC